GACCUACAGCUGAAUGUUAUCACUUCCAGGUGAAGGGGUCCCAGGGCCUUGCUGGCCUGGAAGUAGAGUUAUACAGACAUCGCCUGCUGAUGCUCCCUUAUCCUCCAGAUCUCUGGGUCUCCUUCUAAAACAUUAGGACUAGAAGAAACUACGAGAGCAUCCAAGCAUUUCCUCCAACGUUCUGUUUUACAGGCACUGUCUGUGACACUUGGGAUAUGUCAGCGAUCGAAAGAGACCACGAUGCCUGCCCGUGGGGACUUCGUGUUCCAGUGGAAGAAGACAGACAAUUACACAAAGAUCAGAAGAGGAUGUGAGGUCAAGCCCAGUGCUCCAGAGGCCCGUGUGGUCUUUGUUCCCCAAGGAGGCAGGACAGGACAGAGGUUAUAAGGGCUUAAGUUCCAAUAUCAAACUAGAUUCAAAGACCAGCGUCAGCGCUUACCAGCUACAUGACUGUGGGCGUCAUAUUCCGUCUCUCUGAGCCUCAGUUCCCUCUACUUCAGAACGAAGAUAAUAGUGCACCUACCUCGAAGGGCUUUUUUAAGGAUUAAAUGAAAUAAUGUACACAAAUUCCUUUGCCCGCAGGAAGAACCCAAUAAAACUCAGCUGUAAUG
rnacentral:lncRNA from 1 species